UUGUCGUAGUUUCUUCUCGAGCUGGUUUUCAGCAGAUGUGGAUCCAUUAGAUACCCUGGUAGUCCAUGCCGUAAACGAUGUCUACUAGCCGUUGGGGCCUUUGAGGCUUUAGUGGCGCAGCUAACGCGAUAAGUAGACCGCCUGGGGAGUACGGUCGCAAGACUAAAACUCAAAUGAAUUGACGGGGGCCCGCACAAGCGGUGGAGCAUGUGGUUUAAUUCGAUGCAACGCGAAGAACCUUACCUGGUCUUGACAUAGUAAGAACUUUCCAGAGAUGGAUUGGUGCCUUCGGGAACUUACAUACAGGUGCUGCAUGGCUGUCGUCAGCUCGUGUCGUGAGAUGUUGGGUUAAGUCCCGCAACGAGCGCAACCCUUUUCCUUAUUUGCCAGCACUUCGGGUGGGAACUUUAAGGAUACUGCCAGUGACAAACUGGAGGAAGGCGGGGACGACGUCAAGUCAUCAUGGCCCUUACGACCAGGGCUACACACGUGCUACAAUGGUCGGUACAAAGGGUUGCUACCUAGCGAUAGGAUGCUAAUCUCAAAAAGCCGAUCGUAGUCCGGAUUGGAGUCUGCAACUCGACUCCA
rnacentral:rRNA from 1 species